GACGAACGCUGGCGGCGUGCUUAACACAUGCAAGUCGAACGGUAAGGCCCUUCGGGGUACACGAGUGGCGAACGGGUGAGUAACACGUGGGUGAUCUGCCCUGCACUUCGGGAUCAGCCUGGGAAACUGGGUCUAAUACCGGAUAGGACCACUGCCUGCAUGGGCGGUGGUGGAAAGCUUUUGCGGUGUGGGAUGGGCCCGCGGCCUAUCAGCUUGUUGGUGGGGUGAUGGCCUACCAAGGCGACGACGGGUAGCCGGCCUGAGAGGGUGACCGGCCACACUGGGACUGAGAUACGGCCCAGACUCCUAUGGGAGGCAGCAGUGGGGAAUAUUGCACAAUGGGCGCAAGCCUGAUGCAGCGACGCCGCGUGAGGGAUGACGGCCUUCGGGUUGUAAACCUCUUUCAGCACCGACGAAGCGCAAGUGACGGUAGGUGCAGAAGAAGGACCGGCCAACUACGUGCCAGCCGCCGCAGUAA
rnacentral:rRNA from 1 species